UCUGCUUUCUUCCUGCCCUC
rnacentral:piRNA from 1 species